AGAGUUUGAUCGUGGCUCAGGAUGAACGCUAGCGGCGCGCUUAAUGCAUGCAAGUCGAGCGAUGAGGCCCUUCGGGGUACAUCAGCGGCAAACGGGUGAGUAACACGUAGGUGACCUGCCCUUUAGUCUCGGAUAACGGCUGGAAACAGUCGCUAAUAUGGGAUGGACUUCCAAGGUCGAAGCUGGAAGGAAAGCCGAAAGGCGCUAACGGAGGGGCUUGCGGCCCAUCAGCUAGUUGGUAGGGUAACGGCCUACCAAGGCGGAGACGGGUAGGGGGUGUGAGAGCAUGACCCCCCACAAUGGGACUGAGAGACGGCCCAUACUCCUACGGGAGGCAGCAGCAGGGAAUAUUGCACAAUGGGCGGAAGCCUGAUGCAGCGACGCCGCGUGAGUGAGGAAGGCCUUCGGGUUGUAAAACUCUUUUCUGGGGGAAGAGGGAGGACGGUACCCCAGGAAUAAGUGUCGGCUAACUACGUGCCAGCAGCCGCGGUAAUACGUAGGACACAAGCGUUAUCCGGAUUUACUGGGCGUAAAGCGUCUGCAGGCGGUUGGGUAAGUUGGACGUGAAAGCUCCGUGCUUAACGCGGAGAGGCCGUACAAUACUGCCGAACUAGAGGACGGUAGAGGGGCGUGGAAUUUCCGGUGUAGCGGUAAAAUGCGCAGAUAUCGGAAGGAACACCAGUGGCGAAGGCGGCGCCCUGGGCCGGGCCUGACGCUGAGAGACGAAAGCUAGGGGAGCGAACAGGAUUAGAGACCCUGGUAGUCCUAGCCCUAAACGAUGGAUGCUAGGUGUAGGAGCGAGCAGCUUCUGUGCCGCAGCAAACGCGCUAAGCAUCCCGCCUGGGGAGUACGGCCGCAAGGUUAAAGCUCAAACGAAUUGACGGGGCCCCGCACAAGCAGCGGAGCGUGUGGUUUAAUUCGAUGCUACACGAAGAACCUUACCUGGGUUUGAUAUACAAGUGGUAGUGAAGCGAAAGCGGAGCGACCCUUCGGGGAGCUUGUACAGGUGCUGCAUGGCUGUCGUCAGCUCGUGCCGUGAGGUGUCGGGUUAAGUCCCGUAACGAGCGCAACCCUUACCCUUAGUUACAUGUGUCUAGGGGGACUGCCGGCGGGAAGCCGGAGGAAGGUGAGGAUGACGUCAAGUCAGCAUGGCCCUUAUGUCCAGGGCUACACACACGCUACAAUGGUCGGUACAACGGGUAGCUAAGCCGCGAGGUGGAGCGAAUCCCGGCAAAGCCGGUCGUAGUUCGGAUAGCAGGCUGCAACCCGCCUGCUUGAAGCUGGAGUUGCUAGUAACCGCGCGUCAGCUAUAGUGCGGUGAAUACGUUCCCGGGGCUUGUACACACCGCCCGUCACGUCAUGGGAGUCGGUAACGCCUGAAGCCGGUAGUCUAACUGGAAACAGGGGACGCUGUCGAAGGCGGGACUGGCGACUGGGACGAAGUCGUAACAAGGUA
rnacentral:rRNA from 1 species